rnacentral:SRP_RNA from 1 species
GCCGGGCGUGGUGGCGGGCGCCUGUAAUCCCAGCUACUCGGGAGGCUGAGGCAGGAGAAUUGCUUGAAGCCAGGAGACAGAGGUUGCAGUGAGCCAAGAUCACGCCACUGCACUCCAGCCUGGGCAACAGAGCAAGACUCUGUCUCAA